rnacentral:rRNA from 1 species
GAUGAACGCUGACAGAAUGCUUAACACAUGCAAGUCUUUGGCGAAGCUGUGCUUGCACAGCCUAGCCAAGGCGGACGGGUGAGUAACGCGUAAGGAACUUGCCCUGCAGUCAGGGAUAACAGACGGAAACGACUGAUAAGACCUGGUAAAGUCAGGCGGACUCAUGUCCAGCCUGAUGAAAAGAGAUGCUGCAGGAGAGCCUUGCGUCCUAUUAGCUUGUUGGUGGGGUAACGGCCCACCAAGGCGAUGAUAGGUAGCCGGCCUGAGAGGGUGGACGGCCACAAGGGGACUGAGAUACGGCCCUUACUCCUACGGGAGGCAGCAGUGGGGAAUAUUGGACAAUGGGGGCAACCCUGAUCCAGCAAUUCUGUGUGCACGAUGAAGGUUUUCGGAUUGUAAGGUGCUUUCAGCAGGGAAGAAAAAAAUGACGGUACCUGCAGAAGAAGCGACGGCUAAAUACGUG